rnacentral:piRNA from 1 species
UGUGUAGAUGAAACCUGCUAGA